rnacentral:rRNA from 1 species
GAUGAACGCUGGCGGCGUGCCUAAUACAUGCAAGUCGAACGCUGAAGGAGGAGCUUGCUCUUCUGGAUGAGUUGCGAACGGGUGAGUAACGCGUAGGUAACCUGCCUGGUAGCGGGGGAUAACUAUUGGAAACGAUAGCUAAUACCGCAUGACAACAGUUAUUGCAUGAUAACUGUUUAAAAGUGGCAACUGCUCCACUACCAGAUGGCCCUGCGUUGUAUUAGCUAGUUGGUGAGGUAACGGCUCACCAAGGCGACGAUACAUAGCCGACCUGAGAGGGUGAUCGGCCACACUGGGACUGAGACACGGCCCAGACUCCUACGGGAGGCAGCAGUAGGGAAUCUUCGGCAAUGGACGGAAGUCUGACCGAGCAACGCCGCGUGAGUGAAGAAGGGUGUCGGAUCGUAAAGCUCUGUUGUAAGAGAAGAACGAGUGUGAGAGUGGAAAGUUCACACUGUGACGGUAGCUUACCAGAAAGGGACGGCUAACUACGUG